GCCUUUGUGGCUUAAUGGAUAAGGCACCGGUCUUCUAAGUUGGGGAUUACGAGUUCGAGUCCCGCCAGAGGUA
rfam:Daphnia pulex DAPPTscaffold_385_Cont9233, whole genome shotgun sequence.